UCAUUAAAUUUCAUGUGUCUCCUUUAUCUCCAAUGUGAGUUUGUAUCUCAGGACUUCCCAAAUUGAUAUUCAAAGUUUUUCUGCAGGGGUUAGUCCGACAAAAUAUACCAAUGUCUACACAAGCAGUUUUUAGUUCAAUAACCGAACUAGACUCCAUGUCUAAUCAGAUUAAGGAAGGCUAUUUAACCUAAGCACUGUUGAUAUUUGGGAACGCAAUAAGGAAUUGAUCCGCAAGCGUACGGAUAUCGGUGAGCACUUCACCCGGGAAAUUAUCCAGAGUAUCGUAUUUAUUUUUUACCACUAGGAGAAAGAGUGCAUCUGACUAACCGGUUUAUUACUACUAACCCUUUAGGCACAAAGAAUGUCUUUCGAUGUGAGUGAUAAAUAGAGAAGACUGCAACCUUAGUCUCCUUCUAACCUUGGUAAGGAUGAUCUACUGUUCUAUUGGGGAAGCUAACGGAAUCUAGACACCACAAAGGAUGUUCAUCCCACACCUAUAAACCCUAUCCUUCCUGCU
rnacentral:lncRNA from 1 species